rnacentral:rRNA from 1 species
UACAUGGGGUGCAAACGUUGCUCGGAAUUAUUGGGCGUAAAGCGCACGUAGGCGGUUUGUUAAGUCAGGGGUGAAAUCCCGAGGCUCAACCUCGGAACUGCCUUUGAUACUGGGGAUCUCGAGUCCGGGAGAGGUGAGUGGAACUGCGAGUGUAGAGGUGAAAUUCGUAGAUAUUCGCAAGAACACCAGUGGCGAAGGCGGCUCACUGGCCCGGUACUGACGCUGAGGUGCGAAAGCGUGGGGAGCAAACAGG